GACGAACGCUGGCGGCGUGCUUAACACAUGCAAGUCGAACGGUGAAGCGCCUUCCUUUUUGGUGGGUGUGGAUGAGUGGCGAACGGGUGAGUAACACGUGAGUAACCUGCCCCCUUCUUCUGGAUAACCGCAUGAAAGUGUGGCUAAUACGGGAUAUUCUGGGUCUGUCGCAUGAUGGGUUUGGGAAAGAUAUUGUUUCGGUGGGGGCUGGGCUCGCGGCCUAUCAGCUUGUUGGUGGGGUGAUGGCCUACCAAGGCGGGGACGGGUAGCCGGCCUGAGAGGGUGGACGGUCACACUGGGACGGAGACACGGCCCAGACUCCUACGGGAGGCAGCAGUGGGGAAUAUUGCACAAUGGGGGCAACCCUGAUGCAGCGACGCCGCGUGAGGGAUGGAGGCCUGCGGGUUGUGAACCUCUUUCGCCAGUGAAGCAGGCCUGCCUCGUUUGUGGGUGGGUUGACGGUAGCUGGAGAAGAAGCGCCGGCUAACUACGUG
rnacentral:rRNA from 1 species